rnacentral:rRNA from 1 species
UACGUAGGAUGCAAGCGUUGUCCGGAAUUAUUGGGCGUAAAGGGUGCGCAGGCGGUUUUUCAAGUCAGAUGUGAAAUAUCCCGGCUUAACUGGGAGGGGCCAUUUGAAACUGAAAGACUAGAGUGCAGGAGAGGAUAGCGGAAUUCCCGGUGUAGUGGUGAAAUGCGUAGAUAUCGGGAGGAACACCAGUGGCGAAGGCGGCUAUCUGGCCUGCAACUGACGCUGAGGCACGAAGGCUAGGGGAGCGAGCAGG